rnacentral:rRNA from 1 species
UUCGUAGGCGGAUUUGUAAGUCGAAUGUUAAAGACUCCAGCUUAACUGGAGGGAUGUAUUCGAAACUGCUUAUCUAGAGAGUGGAAGAGGCAGAUGGAAUUCUCGGUGUAGGGGUAAUAUCCGUAGAUAUCGAGAAGAACACCAAAGGCGAAGGCAGUCUGCUGGGCCAUUUCUGACGCUGAGGCACGAAAGCGUGGGGAGCGAACAGGAUUAGAUACCCUGGUAGUCC